rnacentral:rRNA from 1 species
UGGGGAAUAUUGGACAAUGGGCGAAAGCCUGAUCCAGCCAUGCCGCGUGUGUGAAGAAGGUCUUCGGAUUGUAAAGCACUUUAAGUUGGGAGGAAGGGCAUUAACCUAAUACGUUAGUGUUUUGACGUUACCGACAGAAUAAGCACCGGCUAACUCUGUGCCAGCAGCCGCGGUAAUACAGAGGGUGCAAGCGUUAAUCGGAAUUACUGGGCGUAAAGCGCGCGUAGGUGGUUUGUUAAGUUGGAUGUGAAAUCCCCGGGCUCACUCUGGGAACUGCAUUCAAAACUGACUGACUAGAGUAUGGUAGAGGGUGGUGGAAUUUCCUGUGUAGCGGUGAAAUGCGUAGAUAUAGGAAGGAACACCAGUGGCGAAGGCGACCACAUGGACUAAUACUGACACUGAGGUGCGAAAGCGUGGGGAGCAAACA